CACUAUUCUGCAUCGAGAGAGAUGUGUGGGUGGGUGGCAGUGGGGGCUGGGAUGGAUACCAGGGCAAGUGUUGUUAAGUAACUGUUAAAGGACCACUAUAGGCACCAAGACCACUUCAGCUCAAUGAAGUGGUCUGGGUGCCAGGUCCAUCUAGGGUUAACCCUGCCUGCUGUAAACAUAACAGUUUCAGAGAAACUGCUAUGUUUACAUAUAGGUUAAUGCAGCCUCUAUUGGCUGUCUCAUUGACAGCCACU